GUCGAUCUAUGGUCUCCUCUCAGAAGUACAGGGAUCUGAAAUCAGUGUUCUCUGGGCUCUCUACCAAAUCCUGAAGAAGCCAGAGUUUGUCAUAGUGUUUCAGUUUCAGCUGGUAACUCCUGACAGAGCCUGGACUCUUGGUCACCACCUAAUUUUCCCUCCCUCUCCUGUUCUCAAGUGGGUCUUCUCAGGACAACCAGUCUCUCUCAGCUUCUGUUCCCACAGAACUGGGGUUGGCCUGAGGAACACAAACAGCCACCAUUUUCCUGCACCUAUCCUGGAUUCUGAGAAAUUCAAUUUUGGAAGUAUUGUUUAAAACUCUAGCCCUGUUCUUCAGGCAGCCCUGACCUGGAAAGAUUUGUUUAACUAUUAACUAUUUCCUGGGAAUGGGAAGACCUUAGCCAAUGCGCGUUCUCUCUCUCUCUCUCUCUCUCUCUCUCUCUCUCUCUCUCUCUCUCUCUGUCUCUUCCUCCCUUCUUUCUUUCCUCCCUCCCUCCCUCCCU
rnacentral:lncRNA from 1 species